GAUGAACGCUGGCGGCGUGCCUAAUACAUGCAAGUCGAGCGAACAGAUGAGGAGCUUGCUCCUCUGACGUUAGCGGCGGACGGGUGAGUAACACGUGGAUAACCUACCUAUAAGACUGGAAUAACUUCGGGAAACCGGAGCUAAUACCGGAUAAUAUAUUGAACCGCAUGGUUCAAUAGUGAAAGACGGUUUUGCUGUCACUUAUAGAUGGAUCCGCGCCGCAUUAGCUAGUUGGUAAGGUAACGGCUUACCAAGGCAACGAUGCGUAGCCGACCUGAGAGGGUGAUCGGCCACACUGGAACUGAGACACGGUCCAGACUCCUACGGGAGGCAGCAGUAGGGAAUCUUCCGCAAUGGGCGAAAGCUUGACGGAGCAACGCCGCGUGAGUGAUGAAGGUCUUCGGAUCGUAAAACUCUGUUAUUAGGGAAGAACAAAUGUGUAAGUAACUAUGCACGUCUUGACGGUACCUAAUCAGAAAGCCACGGCUAACUACGUG
rnacentral:rRNA from 1 species